CUAAUCUCCAAUCCCUUCCAGUAAAAGGGAUGGCCUCUUCCCUCUCUAAACUAUCUAUUUCAAAAUGUCCAUUGCUCAGACCACUACUAGAAUUUGACAAAGGGGAAUACUGGCCAAAUAUUGCUCAAUUUCCCAUCAUAGAGAUCGAUCGGGAAUUCAUGUGAUGAUUAAAACGAAUGGCUCUCCAACUGAUAUGUGGAUUUUGAAGGGCGAGUACGACAAGUCUGGUCCAUCCAUUGUCCACAAGAAGUGCUUCUAAGUGAGCUCAGGUCUUCUGUUAUAGGCAAGUCUUUGAGAUGCGGCUAUCAAAGAAGGGCAAUUAAAAUCAUUGUACCGCUGAUACUAUUUCAUGUUUCCAGUGCGAGCCUCUUUUGUAAGUUGACAAACUCGAUUUGUAAAUAUGUUUGGGACUCAACUAGUGGUUAGAGUAUUGAUUUUGUAAGAUUUGUAUCCAGAAAAUCAAAUUAGAAAGAUAACUCGCGAUGAUUGAAUAAGCUUGAAGAAGUGGAUUUGAAUUUCAAAUCGUGUCUUUUUUUUAUGUGUGUGUGUGAGAGAGAAAUUUGAAGUGUUGUUUAGAUUUGUUGGAAUAGUCUAAAGAGAUUGUCUCUA